AGAGAAUUGGCUGAGUUUGUUGACGGACUAUAUUCUGCACCAACAUAAUCCUCGUAACCUGCAAUCAACAAAUUAAAUAUACACCGGUUUUAGGACACAGUUCUUGCUACUUACCAGCCUCUCGUAAAACUGAAAAUAUGUAAGGAUAAUCGAGUUCUCCCGAGCAAGAUGGUUCAUGGCGAUGGGGUGCCUGGGCGACCUGCACAUGACCUGAAAAUGAGUAAACAUCAUAUUUUAUGCAUUUCCACUGACAUUCAUUAAGGCUACGUAUGGCAAUGCUGGCGUAUGCAGGUAUAUGCCAGGUAAGGCAAACAGUAGACAGCUGACCUGGCAGAGAGGACAAGGAGCUGUAGCAAAUGCUGCUCAUUCAAGUAUUUGUUCAUUUUAUUCAUAGUUGGAUAUUAUGUUUACUAAUUGUUCUAUAUUUAAUCAAAGAGGAUUUGUUACACUGACAUUGGAUAAAAUAUGAAAUGUAAUGUUAAAUACAUUUUAUUAUUGAAGUU
rnacentral:lncRNA from 1 species